rnacentral:rRNA from 1 species
GUGAGGAAUAUUGCGCAAUGGAGGCAACUCUGACGCAGCCAUGCCGCGUGCAGGAAGAAGGCGCUACGCGUUGUAAACUGCUUUUAACCGGGAAGAAACCCCAGGACGUGUCCUGGGUUGACGGUACUGGAGGAAUAAGCACCGGCUAACUUCGUGCCAGCAGCCGCGGUAAUACGAAGGGUGCAAGCGUUAUCCGGAUUCAUUGGGUUUAAAGGGUGCGUAGGCGGAGCGUUAAGUCAGUGGUGAAAUCCUGCAGCUUAACUGUAGACUUGCCAUUGAUACUGGCGCUCUUGAGUGCGCUUGAAGUGGGCGGAAUGUGCCGUGUAGCGGUGAAAUGCUUAGAUAUGGCACAGAACACCAAUUGCGAAGGCAGCUCACUAAGGCGAUACUGACGCUGAGGCACGAAAGCGUGGGGAUCGAACAGGAUUAGAUACCCUAGUAGUCC